UUAUAAUUUCUAUACUAAACG
rnacentral:piRNA from 1 species